GGAUGCGAUCAUACCAGCACUAAUGCACCGGAUCCCAUCAGAACUCCGAAGUUAAGGUGCUUGGGCGAGAGUAGUACUAGGAUGGGUGACCCCCUGGGAAGUCCUCGUGUUGCAUCCC
rfam:Ipomoea nil DNA, scaffold: scaffold3379, cultivar: Tokyo-kokei standard.